rnacentral:lncRNA from 1 species
GCGAAGUUCUAACCCUCCUGCUCGAUCUCAGAGCUCAGACACAGAGCAGCAGUCCCCUACAAGUGGUGGGGGAAAAGUAGCUCCAGCUCAACCAUCUGAGGAAGGACCAGGAAGGAAAGGUGAAUGAAAAUAAAGUAGAUGGGAUGAAUGCCCCAAAAGGCCAAACUGGGAACUCUAGCCGUGGUCCAGGCGACGGAGGGAACAGAGACCACUGGAAGGAGUCAGAUAGGAAAGAUGGCAAAAAGGAUCAAGACUCCAGAUCUGCACCUGAGCCAAAGAAACCUGAGGAAAAUCCAGCUUCCAAGUUCAGUUCUGCAAGCAAGUAUGCUGCUCUCUCUGUUGAUGGUGAAGAUGAAAAUGAGGGAGAAGAUUAUGCCGAAUAGACCUCUACAUCCUGUGCUUUUCUCCUAGUUUCUCUCCACCCUGGAACAUUCGAGAGCAAAUCAAAACCUCUAUCCAGACAAGACAAAAUAAAACUCACCAUCUCCUGAAGACCUUUCUUACCUUUUUUUAAAAACAAAAAAUGAAAUUAUUUUGCAUGCUGCUGCAGCCUUUAAAGUAUUGAAGUAACUGGAGAAUUGCCAAUACAGCCAGAGAGAAAGGGACUACAGCUUUUUAGAGGAAAAGUUGUGGUGCGUUAUGUCACCAUGCAGUUGCCAGUGUGAUUAGUGCCUAGGGGUCUCCAUUUAGCAGAAAUGGUAAUGACAGUGAUAUAAUGCCUGGAACCUGGUUGGGCAGUAGGGGAGGGAGGUAGAAGGAAAAGUGUGAGAUUUCUACCUUUUAGUUUUUAUCCUAUUGUGGCAUAUAUGAAUUCUCAAACAUUAUCUGAAUAAAUUUUCCACUCUUGGAAAGGUAGAUUUAGCCUCAAGUUGUUCUAGUCUCCAGGAGGCUGCCAGCCCCUCCUCUUAUUUAAUUCUGAGUUUUGGGGGCCAGCCUAGAGGGAAUUCCUUUUUUUUUUUUAACCCCCCAGGGGGGUAGUUGGGAGUGAGACUAUAGGCCAUAAAGAAUGGGACUGCAUUGGACCAAAAUAAAUGGGAAAAUCGUGGUUUGAAAAGAAGCUUUUGGGAAGUGAUGAGUCAUUUUGCACCAGGUAAUAGGGGAAAAUUGUGUGACCUCCAGCAAACACAUGAAUGGUUAUUUCCUGGAGCCGGAAGCACUUGGGGGUCGUGGUAAUUCCCAGUGUUUUCUGUGUCCUAGUUUUACCCUUUCUAAACACUGUCCUUUUUGAAAGUUUUGAAUAUAUCCACAUUCUAUUGAAACCUUGAAACUAAAAAUUUAGACUCUUAUCAUCAUCUUAAGUUCUUCAUGCUACUCUUAACCUCCCAAAAAGCAGUAUCUAAGUCACAUACAUGAUGUCUUGGGCAUUUUCUCAGCCAUGGAGAACUCUGAAAGGAAGAAUCGCUGCUUUUCUCAAGCAAAUCGGUUUCUUGAUGUCUUUUGGUUCUCCUUGCCUGCUCCUGAUGCUUGGACCCCUUUUAUUGAUCAGAGUGCUCUAGAAUAAUGGAUGGUCUUGGAUGAUGGAUAAAUAGGGACAGGGACAGUUAAAUUGGGAGCCUUUCUUACAACCUUGAUGGGAUUUUUCCCCCCAAGUUUCCUUCUCCACUGAAAUGCCACACUAAUGCUUGUUGGAUUCAUGAGGUGGCCAGACCAAUGUGUUGUUUUGUUGUUGUUUUUUUAAGCUUCCCUUGAGAGAAUAAAUGGUAAUGGAGAGAACUAUUUAACAAGGUCCUGGUUUCUCUUGCAACACAGUAGCUAAACUUGCCUGCUUUUAUAUGCAUUUUUGUAGGGAUCAGCUUGGUAGACAGUAUUAGCGGAGAAACACCUUGAUCUUGGUUUGCAAGCCCUUCUCCCAUCAGUCCUAGAUUAGGCCCUGUUCAGCCAUGCAGGGGUGUUGGUUUAUGCGUGCUGCAGCAGUGGGCAUAAUGAAUAUAAUUUACCCAGUGGACAAAGGUGUGUACCAAGUGAAUUUAAAUAAUUGGUGUGGAUUGGCCAGUAGCUAAGAAGUGGGCUUUUAAAGAGUAUUGAAGAUUGAAAGGGUUUUUCUUUCUUUUUUAAAAAAGAAAAACAAACUAUUGAUUGUAGAUAAUGAAAAGCUAGGGUUUGCCCUCUUCAUGUCUACUCUCCUUCCAAAUAGUUAUAUCCAAAACUGUUUUUCCCUCUCCCCUACCUUGUCCCCCCUAUUAAAAUAGAAACAGGGAUUGAUUAAUGUCCCGCUCCUGAAUACAUGUAAAAUUUGUACAAAAAUAUCUUCUAUGAAAAUGAUUUGUAAUCUGUAGACUUAUUACCUGGGAGAUGUCUUGAUGUAAAAUCCCAUCCUUUGGGUUGUGGGUUUUUUGUUUUCUCCAAAUAAAUCUGAUCUUUAAAGUUC